CACGCCAAAUACGACUGACUUUCACGGCUUGACUCAUUAUUAACAAUGGCGUACCUAAAUUAAAAAUAGUAAUUUUUAAUUUAAGUCUAAAAUGUAAAUAAAUUUAUAUUUUUUAGUCUUCUUUAUUGGUUUUACGCUAGGUUAACGCGAUUAGAUGAAUUACUAGCCCCGAGGCUCCCGGUCGCACCCUAGCCUUAUAUAUUUAUUUAUGAUCAGUGUCAAUAGCAUACAUGCAGUAAACAUUUUCCUUAAGAGCCCAUCAACGUGCACACUUUGAUUGAAUACAUCAAACUAGUUUUUAUGUUGCUGGAUAAUCCAAAGCAAGCAACAUAAAAACUAGUUUGAUGUAUUCAAACGGUACAUAGAUACAAAAUACAGUACGUAGCGGCCCCCUUUUUUAAAUAUCUUUCGUUAAAUUUAAAUAAUCACGAAUAUUUAGCAAUGGCGCUAGUGUGCACGUUGAUGGGCUCUUAAAAUCUUCCUAUAAUUGUAACAGACUGGAUCCGGGGGUGCUUGCUGGAUUACAUGCCGUAAAUAAAUGUUAUUUAUCGGCAAAACUAGUCUUAUUUCUCUAGAAUUAUGUACAAAUCAAAAAGCAUUAAGUAUAUUUAUUUCAAGUACAUA